GGGCCCGCACAAGCAGUGGAGUAUGUGGUUUAAUUCGAAGCAACGCGAAGAACCUUACCAGGUCUUGACAUCCUAAGAAUCCUUUAGAGAUAGAGGAGUGCCUUUCGGGGAACUUAGAGACAGGUGGUGCA
rnacentral:rRNA from 1 species